rnacentral:rRNA from 1 species
ACGGGAGGCAGCAGUGGGGAAUAUUGGGCAAUGGGCGCAAGCCUGACCCAGCAAUGCCGCGUGAAGGAAGAAGGCUUUCGGGUUGUAAACUUCUUUUAAGUGGGACGAUAAUGACGGUACCACUUGAAUAAGCUCCGGCUAACUACGUGCCAGCAGCCGCGGUAAUACGUAGGGAGCAAGCGUUAUCCGGAUUUACUGGGUGUAAAGGGAGCGCAGGCGGGAUAGCAAGUCAGCGGUGAAAUGUAUGGGCUUAACCCAUGAACUGCCGUUGAAACUGUUAUUCUUGAGUGGAGUAGAGGCAGGCGGAAUUCCGAGUGUAGCGGUGAAAUGCGUAGAUAUUCGGAGGAACACCAGUGGCGAAGGCGGCCUGCUGGGCUCUAACUGACGCUGAGGCUCGAAAGUGUGGGGAGCAAACAGGAUUAGAUACCCUGGUA